rnacentral:lncRNA from 1 species
GCUAGUUUAACGGAUAAUUCGGCCUUGUUACGGCUGACUUAUUAGCAAAAGAUUAAUUACUAUAAUAUUAUGCAGUUACGGCUGACUUAUUAAACGAUACGACUUAGUUAAAGAUUUACAUUUCAACUGAAUUUGGGAGCCUUUUUUUCUUUUUUUUGAAAAUUACUGUAGUAGUAUUCAUGAUGCGGUUGAAUUAAAGAUUUGUUGUAUGGCUAAUUUAAUUUGGGUGAGUUACAUGUUCGUUUGGUGGUUGACAUGCCACUUCAUCAAUUAAAAAUGACUUUAAAUGCAUCAUUCCAUGUCAUCAUCAGCAAAGGAAAUACGAAACGUCGUCUUCAACAUUUUUGUAUUCAUCGUUGUUGUUCUUCACCUUGUUCUUCACACCAACACAAAUAUCGAUACCUCAAAUUUUG